UACGAAGGGGGCUAGCGUUGCUCGGAAUCACUGGGCGUAAAGGGUGCGUAGGCGGGUUUUUAAGUCAGGGGUGAAAUCCUGGAGCUCAACUCCAGAACUGCCUUUGAUACUGAAGAUCUUGAGUUCGGGAGAGGUGAGUGGAACUGCGAGUGUAGAGGUGAAAUUCGUAGAUAUUCGCAAGAACACCAGUGGCGAAGGCGGCUCACUGGCCCAUAACUGACGCUGAGGUGCGAAAGCGUGGGGAGCAAACAGG
rnacentral:rRNA from 1 species